GAUGAAGAACGUAGCGAAAUGCGAUAAGUAAUGUGAAUUGCAGAAUUCAGUGAAUCAUCGAAUCUUUGAACGCACAUUGCGCCCGUCAGUAUUCUGGCGGGCAUGCCUGUUCGAGCGUCAUUACGCCCCUCAAGUCCCCUGUGGACUUGGUGUUGGGGAUCGGCGAGGCUGGUUUUCCAGCACAGCCGUCCCUUAAAUUAAUUGGCGGUCUCGCCGUGGCCCUCCUCUGCGCAGUAGUAAAAACACUCGCAACAGGAGCCCGGCGCGGUCCACUGCCGUAAAACCCCCCAACUUUUUAUAGUUGACCUCGAAUCAGGUAGGACUACCCGCUGAACUUAAGCAUAUCAAUAAGCGGAGGA
rnacentral:misc_RNA from 1 species